AGUGCUUCCCUUGCUGCUCAGUCAAUGAUUUGAGGCCUCUUUAUGUACUGAAACCUCAUUGCUUGCACUGCUGUUGCAGCUGAGGGUCAAGUCAGGAACGGAUCCAGCAAAGGCUGACGUUAUUCCAGGGCACUCUGAAUUGGUGCACUAAGAACUGUUGUGACAGAACACCUAGCCAAACCUCUUUUUCAGCUUCAGUUAUAUCAACACUGGGGUUAUACAAUAUACUAGAACAGCCUUCCAGAAAAAAAUUAUCUUUGGGGUUUAUAAAUCUUACUUACACACUUACAAAUCACAAAGACUCCAGUUUGGCAAUAACACUUGUCUCUGUUAUUGCUCAGUCUCCAGGUACUUCUUGCUUCUUGUUCUCUUUCAAAUGUUUUUGUCUCCCUGGAGCACCACCCCCUUCCCCAGCCAGUUCCACUCUGCUCCUAAUGGAGAUAGGGUUAAAUUUACAAAGUGUUUUUGUCCUAAUUACAAGCCUUUCAGCUAGUACCUUGGUCUCAGCCUCAGCAGGAAAUGAUAUGCAAAAUAUACUUUCAUGCAUCUGACAGUCCCCAAAACUACCGGUCAUAUAAAUUCUGGCAAUUUACUCUAAUUAAAGCUAAGCAGCGUCGUGUGUGCUUAAACGGUCAAUCUGUCUUGAAGUAAUUACACCUGAAAGCAGGAAUACAUCAGUUUCCUUCUCCUGGAAUUAAACUCAGAUGGGGCAGCCGAGAAACAGUCAAGGGACAUUUGCUAAUGAUUAAAUCCAAAUCACAUCUCCUUGCAGUGCUCUUAGCAAGUACAAGCUGCUGCAUGGAUGCUGAUGGAUUUGUGGAGGAAGGAAGCAGAUGGUACAAGGCACUUGUCAACACAGCGCUGCCUACACAAGACACUCUCUCUCUCACACCCAGUGCUGCAGAGGCUCGUGCUCUGAAGCAGUGCAGCAGGGAGGCAAAGCGAGGCUCUGGGAGAAUGUAAAAUACAUGCUAUGCUUGCAAUCAGAAGAGCCAGCAGGCAGAGCUCCUGGUGUGCCAGAGAACUCCCACCUUCCACACGGCCAUGUCAACGAUGUCUCUCGUCUCUUGAUGGUCCUUUAGAGAAGACCAAAGAUGACUUUCUAGAAAUAGCAACAAUAUUGACUCACUUAGGAAAAGAUGAACAGGCUGCAUUGCUCCAUCCAAAGCCUCCUUCCUGCUCUUGUGUACAGAGCAAGGAGCACAGAAGGCAGUGAAGGAAAGACAAAAAAAGAAAUCAUUAACCACUAACCACACUUACACAACCAUAUUUUGCUGUGCCACUCAACAGCAGCACAUAACUCCAAAUUCCCAUAACUCCUGACACAGUGCUCAAAGACUGCUGUUAGUCAGAAGGAUGCUUACUUUGGCCCCCUAGGAGCUGACAAAUUCCGCUUUAUCUCCCUGGGAUCUGACGAGCCCAUCCUGUCACACGGGAAGACGAUUAUGAAUGACAAUGCAAUGAGUAACUUCUUAAACAGGCAAAAAAAAAAUCUGACUUGAAUAUUCUGCUUAGAUUCUCAUCCUUUGCUAGUUCACUGAUAUGUGCUAAGUUUCCCAAAAGGAGGACACAUCACUAGAGGACAAGCAGGAACCAAGUUUACUCCCAUAUCAAUAUAUAAAAGCUUAUAUAGAUGCAUCACUGAAAGAUUAACCCAAAUCCACGUUCAGCCUCUGAAACCUUAGUUUGAAAGAUGCAGUGAACUAUGAAAAGACAGACCAAGGACCUGUGCAGCUCUUUAAGCUAUCUGUGAUUUGUCCAUCCUCAAAACAAACUCAAAAAGCAGUUUUUUGUCAAGUUUAUGCUUGCACUCCUUUUACAAGAAGUGAAAUGCUGUUCCCUCCCAUUAUCCCAUUAAUCAUCUUCCUUUUUUAAACACAGAUGUGGUUUUAUUCAGGUUAAACUAAAAUAUACUGAAGGAUACCUAUUUAGGAGUCAGAAUUCUUUAUUCCUUAAUUAUGACACAAUCCAGCCAUACUCAUCAGAACAGGCCAGUUCUUUCUAUCCCUCCGAACUGGGACCUUUCCAAAAUGCCAAAACCAGAUCUCUUCUGUUGUACCUGAAAUAAUCUACUGGUACUUAUCUAGAAAUAUUCUGGGUUUUCAAAAAUCAAGCAUAAACAUGUCAGAAAUCAUUCUGUGACUGAAUGUCAUAGUUUGUGUUUUGUUAAAAUAUUCCAGAACAUUAACCUGCUAAAACACUUGGGAGCGGAGGGGGUGCCUUUAAAAGCUGCUUUGGCAUUAAAAAACGAGCAGCAUUGGAUACAGAAUAGAAGGGAAGAGGCAAAACCAAAGAACACAGUUUUCCAUUAUCAGAACCAGGCAAAGCGGGAUCAGCUGCUUUUUGAAGAUUUGUUGUUGUGAGAGACCUCACAUAGUCCCCAAGGCUGCAUUUUCCAUUCCAGUCUCGCCGUGGAGUAUUGGUUGCAGCAGGACUGUUAAUCACUGCUAAUUGUGAGGACAGCACUGGGGCAGGAACAACUGUCCCCAGCGAACCAGUCUUCACUGCCAGAAACACAGUAUCAGCAAUGACAGCAAAGCCCCAGGCACUAGCAGAAGACUCUCUCCUCUCCUAGGAAUUGCCCACAUCUUCCAUGGAUACCGUGAAGAAUCCAGGUCACAGUCUUUGUAACAUUAUGUUGAAUGACCAAAAGGUUUGCAAUGAAACACU